rnacentral:rRNA from 1 species
CUACGGGGCGCACCAGUGGGGAAUAUUGCACAAUGGGCGCAAGCCUGAUGCAGCAACGCCGCGUGGGGGACGAAGGCCUUCGGGUUGUAAACCUCUUUUAGUAGGGAAGAAGCGCAAGUGACGGUACCUACAGAAAAAGCACCGGCUAACUACGUGCCAGCAGCCGCGGUAAUACGUAGGGUGCAAGCGUUGUCCGGAAUUAUUGGGCGUAAAGAGCUCGUAGGCGGUUUGUCGCGUCUGCUGUGAAAAUCCGAGGCUCAACCUCGGACCUGCAGUGGGUACGGGCAAACUAGAGUGCGGUAGGGGAGAUUGGAAUUCCUGGUGUAGCGGUGGAAUGCGCAGAUAUCAGGAGGAACACCAAUGGCGAAGGCAGAUCUCUGGGCCGUAACUGACGCUGAGGAGCGAAAGCGUGGGGAGCGAACAGGAUUAGAUACCCCAGUAGUC